ACUUAUAUAAUAUAUCCAGUAUAUUUGACUUCCAAUCAAAAAGACUAAAUACUUUUAGUAUAAGUA
rnacentral:tRNA from 1 species